UACGUAGGGUGCAAGCGUUGUCCGGAAUUAUUGGGCGUAAAGAGCUCGUAGGCGGUUCGUCGCGUCGGCUGUGAAAACCCGGAGCUCAACUCCGGGCCUGCAGUCGAUACGGGCGGACUUGAGUGUUGCAGGGGAGACUGGAAUUCCUGGUGUAGCGGUGAAAUGCGCAGAUAUCAGGAGGAACACCGGUGGCGAAGGCGGGUCUCUGGGCAACUACUGACGCUGAGGAGCGAAAGCGUGGGGAGC
rnacentral:rRNA from 1 species